rfam:Schistosoma mansoni, Puerto Rico, WGS project CABG01000000 data, contig: 0218
AUCCAGGACGCACUGACGAGUUCCAAAUAGGACGAAACGCGCAUCCUGGAU